AAGAACAUGCACAUAUGUACUCAUGUGUGCAUACAUACAUAUUGUCUGUGCAUAUACACACUUGUAUACACACACGUGUGCAUGAACACACUCA
rnacentral:miRNA from 1 species